AAAAAAAAACGAGAGAAAAAAAGAAGAGAGAAAAAAUAAGAAAGAAGAACUAGAAAAAAUUGAAGAAAAAUAUAAAGUUACACUAUUUUAGAAAAACGUUGCACUGUUAUAAACAUAAGUUGCACUCUUUGAAAUAUAAACUACAUGUUUUAAGAUGAAAGUUAUACUCUUUACGAGAUAGUUACAUUGUUUCUCCACCUUAAGAAAGCAAAAGGGAAGAGGGAGGAGAAGAAAUAGUGUAACUAUCUUUCAAAGAGUGCAAUUUUUAUUUAAAGAGUGUAACUUUUAUCUUAAAUGGUGCAAUUUAUAUUUAUAACAAUACAACGUUCUUCUAAAAUAGUACAACUUCAUUUUCUUUUUCUUUUUCUCUAAUUUUUCUUUCUUAUUCUCUAGUUUUUUAUUUUUAGUUAUUUUAUUUAU
rnacentral:lncRNA from 1 species